GCUGUAACAGUCUUGAAGUCAGCAUGGACAUGAAUUUGUCAGCGCGUUGUGCUUUGGUUCUUUUUCUGUUGGCAUUUGUACAUUUGAAAAUAGUCUCUGCUACAGACAAGCCUGGAGUGUGCCCUCGUAGACGAUGGGGCAUGGGGAUAUGUGUAGAGUUAUGUUCCAAUGACAGUGACUGCCCCAAUGAUGAAAAAUGCUGCUACAAUGGAUGUGGGCAUGUCUGCAUUGCACCUUACACAGACAAGCCUGGAGUGUGCCCUCGUAGACGAUGGGGCAUGGGGAUAUGUGUAGAGUUAUGUUCCAAUGACAGUGACUGCCCCAAUGAUGAAAAAUGCUGCUACAAUGGAUGUGGUUUAUGUAAUACACAAUAUUUCCAGUAUCCUAGUUGUGACACUCAAGGUGUGGGUUGA
rnacentral:lncRNA from 1 species